rnacentral:rRNA from 1 species
UACGGAGGGUGCGAGCGUUAAUCGGAAUUACUGGGCGUAAAGCGCGCGUAGGCGGCCAUUUAAGCUAGAUGUGAAAGCCCAGGGCUUAACCUUGGAAUUGCAUUUAGAACUGAAUGGCUAGAGUAUGGGAGAGGAGUGUGGAAUUUCCGGUGUAGCGGUGAAAUGCGUAGAGAUCGGAAGGAACACCAGUGGCGAAGGCGACACUCUGGCCCAAUACUGACGCUGAGGUGCGAAGGCGUGGGGAUCAAACAGG